GGAUGAACGCUGGCGGCGUGCCUAAUACAUGCAAGUCGAACGAAACUUCUUUAUCACCGAGUGCUUGCACUCACCGAUAAAGAGUUGAGUGGCGAACGGGUGAGUAACACGUGGGCAACCUGCCCAAAAGAGGGGGAUAACACUUGGAAACAGGUGCUAAUACCGCAUAACCAUAGUUACCGCAUGGUAACUAUGUAAAAGGUGGCUAUACUACCGCUUUUGGAUGGGCCCGCGGCGCAUUAGCUAGUUGGUAGGGUAAAGGCUUACCAAGGCAAUGAUGCGUAGCCGAAUUGAGAGGUUGAUCGGCCACAUUGGGACUGAGACACGGCCCAAACUCCUACGGGAGGCAGCAGUAGGGAAUCUUCCACAAUGGGCGAAAGCCUGAUGGAGCAACGCCGCGUGGGUGAAGAAGGUCUUCGGAUCGUAAAACCCUGUUGUUAGAGAAGAAAGUGCGUGAGAGUAACUGUUCACGUUUCGACGGUAUCUAACCAGAAAGCCACUGCUAACUACGUG
rnacentral:rRNA from 1 species